UGGCGGACGGGUGAGUAAUGUCUGGGAAACUGCCUGAUGGAGGGGGAUAACUACUGGAAACGGUAGCUAAUACCGCAUAACGUCGCAAGACCAAAGAGGGGGACCUUCGGGCCUCUUGCCAUCGGAUGUGCCCAGAUGGGAUUAGCUAGUAGGUGGGGUAACGGCUCACCUAGGCGACGAUCCCUAGCUGGCCUGAGAGGAUGACCAGCCACACUGGAACUGAGACACGGUCCAGACUCCUACGGGAGGCAGCAUG
rnacentral:rRNA from 1 species